GAUGAACGCUGGCGGCGUGCCUAAUACAUGCAAGUCGAGCGAACGGACGAGAAGCUUGCUUUUCUGAUGUUAGCGGCGGACGGGUGAGUAACACGUGGAUAACCUACCUAUAAGACUGGGAUAACUUCGGGAAACCGGAGCUAAUACCGGAUAAUAUUUUGAACCGCAUGGUUCAAAAGUGAAAGACGGUCUUGCUGUCACUUAUAGAUGGAUCCGCGCUGCAUUAGCUAGUUGGUAAGGUAACGGCUUACCAAGGCAACGAUGCAUAGCCGACCUGAGAGGGUGAUCGGCCACACUGGAACUGAGACACGGUCCAGACUCCUACGGGAGGCAGCAGUAGGGAAUCUUCCGCAAUGGGCGAAUGCCUGACGGAGCAACGCCGCGUGAGUGAUGAAGGUCUUCGGAUCGUAAAACUCUGUUAUUAGGGAAGAACAUAUGUGUAAGUAACUGUGCACAUCUUGACGGUACCUAAUCAGAAAGCCACGGCUAACUACGUG
rnacentral:rRNA from 1 species